UUUUUUAUUCAGGAGAGUUUGUGAUUCUUUUUUUUUUUCAUUAUGUACGUUUUCAAUUUCCAGGUGACUUCGUACUUAUUCGUGGUCUUUUUUUAGUAUAGUGUUUCAAUUUUGAGGUUUCUGUCUUCUUUUUAUUCAGAAGUCGUGUUUAAUUCAUUCAGUUUUUUCAUUACAUACAUUCUUUUCAAUUUCUGGGAGACUUCAUACUUAUCCGAGGUCUUCUUUUAGUAUAGUGUUUCAAUUUUGAGGUUUCUGUCUUCUUUUUAUUCAGAAGUCGUGUUUAAUUCAUUCAGUUUUUUCAUUACAUACAUUCUUUUCAAUUUCUGGGAGACUUCAUACUUAUCCGAGGUCUUCUUUUAGUAUAGUGUUUCAAUUUUGAGGUUUCUGUAUUUUUUAUUCAGGAGAGGUUAUGUUUAAUUCAUUCUAUUCUUGCAUCAUGUACAUCUUUUUCAAUUUCAAGGAGACUUUCUACUUAUCCGAGGUCUUCUUUUAUGUAACUUUUCAAUUUCGAGGUUUGUCUUUUUUACUCAGAAGUUUUGUUUAAUUCAUUCAAUCCCUUCAUUACGUACAUCUUUUUUCAAUUUCCAGGAGGCUUUGUACUUACCCAAGAUCUUUUUCUAGUAUAGUUAUUCAAUUUUGAGGUUUCUGUCUUUUUUAAUUCAGGAGAGGUUAUGUUUAAUUCAUUCAAUUCUUGCAUUAUGUACUUCUUUUUUCAAUUUCCAGGAGGCUUCGUACUUAUCCGAGGUCUUCUUUUAGUAUAGGCAUUCAAUUUCGAGGUUUGCUCUUUAAUUAAUUCAAGAGAAGUUACGUUACAUUCAUUCAAUUCUUGCAUUACGCACAUUCUUUUCAAUUUCAAGGAGACUUUCUACUUAUCCGAGGUCUUCUUUUAGUAUAGGCAUUCAAUUUCGAGGUUUGCUUCUUAAUUAAUUCAAGAGAAGUUACGUUACAUUCAUUCAAUUCUUGCAUUACGCACAUUCUUUUCAAUUUCAAGGAGACUUUCUACUUAUCCAGGUCUUCUUUUAGUAUAGGCAUUCAAUUUCGAGGUUUGCUUCUUAAUUAAUUCAAGAAAAAGUUAUGUCACAUUCAUUUGAUUCUUGCCUUUCUUACAUUCUUUUCAAUUCCCAGGAGAUUUCAUACUUAUCCGAGGUCUUCUUUUGGUAUACCGUUCCAAUUUCGAGGUUUGUCUUUUUUAUAUAGGAUUGUUUAUGUGGGUAUUGUUAUUAUCUGUGGUUAUUGAGAUUACUAAUAGGUUUGUAGAUGAAAGAAAUAGAAUCAACGAGAGUAGAAUGUGAAUGUGAGCUAAGGUUAAAGGGAUCAGAUCAAAUGAUGUAGUGUUAGAUUACGUACUCUCGUUUAUUAUGCAGAGAGAGAGAGAGAGAGAUUAUAUAGAUGCAAUUUUUAUAUAUUCCAUCAGUUUUAACGAUGCAUAAUAUAUAUAUAAGCGAAAUCAAUGACAGUGUUCGCAUUUUAUCGGACUCCGUGAAUGGGAGAAGACAUUUAAAACACACACACACACACAUACAUACAUACAUACAGCAUCGAUAACUCUCCUUUGCGUGUUGGUAUAAAAGGAAUAUAAUCGAAUGCAAGCCUUUCUUUGACAAUAUAUAGCGUCCACUGCCCUUUGUAUGUAUGUGUAUAUGUGUGUAUAGGUAGAUAGGUAGGGUGUGCGUGUGUAUAUGUGUGUUUGUGUCGUUUUUGUAUGUGUGAAAGUAUAAGGUUAAUGAAAAUGAACGUAAGGUUGACUGUGUAUAAGGCUCUUCUUUGCGUAGUUUGACCUUUGUAAAAAUAAGGAUAGAAAAGAAUGAAUGUGAGGAUGUAGAAUGUAUAUAAUGAUGAGGAUGGUGAAUGUGUAUGAGGAUAAGAGUGGUGAAUGUGUAUAAGGCUCUUCUUUGCGUAUUUCAACCUUUGUAAAAAUAAGGAUAGAAAAGAAUGAAUGUAAGGAUGAAGAAUGUGUAUAAUGAUGAGGAUGGUGAAUGUGUAUAAGGCUCCUUUUUGCGUAUUUUCAGCCUUUGUAUAAACGAGGAUAUUGACACCUUCAUAUCCUCUCCCCUCCAUACUAAUACUGUCAUUAUGCAUUGUGUCAUCAGGGUUCCCCACUCACCCUCUAACAAUGAGAAUAAAGUGUUUUUACUC